rnacentral:rRNA from 1 species
AGAGUUUGAUCCUGGCUCAGAAUCAACGCUGGCGGCGUGCCUAACACAUGCAAGUCGAACGAGAAAGUGGAGCAAUCCAUGAGUAAAGUGGCGCACGGGUGAGUAACACGUGACUAACCUACCCUUGAGUGGGGAAUAACCUGGAGAAAUCUAGGCUAAUACCGCAUAACACCUACGGGUCAAAGGAGCAAUUCGCUUAAGGAGGGGGUCGCGGCAGAUUAGCUAGUUGGCGGGGUAAUGGCCCACCAAGGCGGUGAUCUGUAUCCGGCCUGAGAGGGCGCACGGACACACUGGAACUGAAACACGGUCCAGACUCCUACGGGAGGCAGCAGUGGGGAAUUUUGCGCAAUGGGGGAAACCCUGACGCAGCAACGCCGCGUGGAGGAUGAAGUCCCUUGGGACGUAAACUCCUUUCGAUCGGGACGAUUAUGACGGUACCGGAAGAAGAAGCCCCGGCUAACUUCGUGCCAGCAGCCGCGGUAAUACGAGGGGGGCAAGCGUUGUUCGGAAUUAUUGGGCGUAAAGGGUGCGUAGGCGGUUCGGUAAGUCUUAUGUGAAAUCUUCAGGCUCAACUUGAAGUCUGCAUGAGAAACUGCCGGGCUUGAGUGUGGGAGAGGUGAGUGGAAUUUCCGGUGUAGCGGUGAAAUGCGUAGAUAUCGGAAGGAACACCUGUGGCGAAAGCGGCUCACUGGACCAUAACUGACGCUGAUGCACGAAAGUUAGGGGAGCAAACAGGAUUAGAUACCCUGGUAGUCCUAGCCCUAAACGAUGAUCGCUUGGUGUGACGGGUACCCAAUCCCGCCGUGCCGAAGCUAACGCGUUAAGCGAUCCGCCUGGGGAGUACGGUCGCA